GUCCACGCCCUAAACGAUGAUCACUCGAUGUGUGCGAUACACAGUACGCGUCUGAGCGAAAGCAUUAAGUGAUCCACCUGGGGGAGUACGACCGCAAGGUUGAAACUCAAAGGAAUUGACGGGGGCCCGCACAAGCGGAGGAGCAUGUGGUUUAAUUCGAUGAUACGCGAGGAACCUUACCAGGGCUUGAAAGUUAGUGAAUGAUAUAGAAACAUAUCAGUCAGCAAUGACACGAAACUAGGUGCUGCAUGGCUGUCGU
rnacentral:rRNA from 1 species